rnacentral:rRNA from 1 species
UCGAACGAGAAUCUGGAGGUUCAAGUUUUCGGACAAGAACUUUCGGAGGAAAGUGGCGGAAGGGUGAGUACAACAUGGAUAAUCUACCUUCAAGUUGGGUAUAGCUUCCCGAAAGGGGAGAUAAUCCCGAAUGUGGUGAUCCGGCGCCUGUCGGAGAAUCCAAAGGUGGGGACCGCAAGGCCUGCCGCUUGAAGAUGAGUCCGUGCACUAUCAGCUAGUUGGUGAGGUAAUGGCUCACCAAGGCGAUGACGGUUAGCUGGUCUGAGAGGAUGGUCAGCCACACUGGGACUGAGAUACUGCCCAGACUCCUACGGGAGGCUGCAGUCGAGAAUCAUUCGCAAUGGGCGCAAGCCUGACGGUGCGACGUCGCGUGGAGGAUGAAGGUCUUCGGAUUGUAAACUCCUGUCAUGUGGGAUAAAUGGCCAGGGCAUGAAUAGUGCCUUGGAAUGAUAGUACCACAGGAGGAAGGGACGGCUAACUCUGUG